GGACUCGACACGGGGUGCCGGGCGGCCGGCUGAGAACACACCCGUCGAACCUGACCGGGUCAUGCCGGCGGAGGGAUGUCGAGAUGGCGACAG
rnacentral:ncRNA from 2 species